rnacentral:rRNA from 1 species
CCUACGGGCGGCAGCAGUGAGGAAUAUUGGACAAUGGGGGAAACCCUGAUCCAGCGACGCCGCGUGAGUGAAGAAGUAUUUCGGUACGUAAAGCUCUAUCAGCAGGAAAGAAAAUGACGGUACCUGACUAAGAAGCCCCGGCUAACUACGUGCCAGCAGCCGCGGUAAUACGUAGGGGGCAAGCGUUAUCCGGAUUUACUGGGUGUAAAGGGAGCGUAGACGGCAGCGCAAGUCUGGAGUGAAAUGCCGGGGCUCAACCCCGGAACUGCUCUGGAAACUGUGAAGCUGGAGUGCAGGAGAGGUAAGCGGAAUUCCUGGUGUAGCGGUGAAAUGCGUAGAUAUCAGGAGGAACACCGGCGGCGAAGGCGGCUUACUGGACUGUAACUGACGUUGAGGCUCGAAGGCGUGGGGAGCAAACAGGAUUAGAUACCCCAGUAGUC